GUUGCACUGGCCGUAGCAGAAGCGGUUGAGCACCGUGCGGCUGCGGCAGCCCUCCUCGCCCACCGUCUGCCGCAGCGGCUGCGUCUUGCACCAGUCACUCUUGAGAUUAGAAAGCUGAGGCAUUGCGAGACUUUCUAACUAACCCAGAUCGACAGCUGCUAGUAUGUGAAAUAUUUGAAUCCUUGCUUCCUGGCUCCAGGUCCUGUCGUCAUCAGGGGGAGCAGAGCUAAAACUCAGCUCGAUUUGGGGCAAAAACUCUUGGAGUCCACAGUACUAGAUGUGGUGAUUACCAACAUGCAUUCUUUGAACACUUGAAAACAGUUUCAGAACAUCUGGCACACAGAACAGUUCUGCCUCAUAAGCACCUAAGGAGGAAAGCAAACCGCCCAUUUUCAGGAUGGGGAAAAGAGGUGGAGGAGGCUGGAAGGCUGGGGCCAAGCGGGUGCUUCUUUCCUUCCUCCCGCACAGCGCCUCUGGCAUCUCAGUGUCAGAGUCAAUAGGCAAGAGGCAUUUUGCUGCAGUGACUGGUAGGCUGUGAUCUCUUCACUUCAAGGAAGGGAAAGCAGCUGAGCCAUCUGCUGCCCUGACCCAUUGUCCCCUUCUAGGUGGGUGGGGUUCCCUGGGGAGAGAACCACUGGCUUCUUUCUUCAGCUCACUGACCAUCCGUGCACACGUCAGUGGCCCCACCAGACCCUGAUUUUAGCCUUCCAGAGUCCUGCUCUGCCUUGAGUCACUUUGCUACUCAGAGAAAUGGUUGGCAUGCAGUUACCCUCUCAGGAAUGCUGCCACCCUGCCAGUAUGGACAGCACAGAGGUACUGCAUUUCACCAUGUAUCUUGUGUUUGGCUUGUAUCAGAAGAAACUGGUAAAUAAGUUCUGUGGUUUUAUCCACCAUCCUGGUGGACUGACAACGUGGUGAAUUUGCAAGGGUGUCAGGACCGAAUAUGCUGAGAGGCUAAGCAGCCUGGGUUGGUCAAAGCAGGCUAUGCAAAGAGGUAGUGAAGUGCUUCCCCUGGGGCUCGGCCUUUGUAGAUUCCAGAACCAGGGAGUCACAGGGCAGAGCAGUCUAGUAUUGAGGCUGCUAAAAAAUAACUGGCCCCUUCUGGAAGCUCUUCUUAAGAACUUUCAUGGGGUUCUACAAUAGGAGCUUGAGAAUAAAGCUUCCUAAUUACUAGAAAAGGAUGUAGCAGUGCCGAAUCAUAUUUACCAAAAAGUCUAUGCAGGUGACCAAAGGCCAAGGGUGCACUUAAGCCGGUUAACUCACUCCCAGUGACCCUGUUGAGUUUUAGAGGUCAGGUCAAGGUGUUCUGGGCCACGCAUGAGUGGCGAAUGAUUUGGGGCUCAAACUUUUUCUGUGACCUUAGAAUUCUAGGGCAUGUUUGGAAGGUUGAAGGCAAGCACCCAGGGCUGAAUAUGGGCAGAUACAUCUAGGAUAAACUUCCUCCCAUGGCCCAAAUGAAAACAGAAUCAAAAACAAAGAACUCCAAACAAAAGCCCCCAAAAUGCUAGAAUUCAGAGAUUAGUUUUAUGAAUUUUACUACUAGAAUUCAGUAAGCAAAGGUACUUCAUCUGUGACUGGGAUUCUUAGGCUGGGAGGGCAGUGGUUUAGCUCCUGAACUAGACAUAAAUAUUCCUUGGCCCGAGACUGUCCUCUUACUGUAAGACUGCCUGUCUGCUGAAGCCACUUACCUUCAGCAACUGUAAUUUGUGGCAAACAGUAGCCUGGGGCCAACCCAACCUGAGGUCUGUGUGUGUAAAUACAGUUGUAUUGAACACAGCCCCGCCCAUCUUAUUUACAUUUUCUCUGGCUGCUUUUGUGGGAGGACAGAGAAGGAGAGACAGAAACGCUAUUGGCCCACCACAUAAAAAACAUUUACUAUCUGGCCUUUGACAAAACCGUUUUGCCAAACCCCGUUCCAAACCCUCCCUCUCCAAACCAGUUGUUGCCUUUUUUGCCUUUGGGCUCUCUUGCUGGAAAAGGAGACAAUUUCUAACUGAAACAUUUCAAACAUAGAGCAAGAGCGAACAUAGAACAAACCCUAUACACGCACCAUCAAGAUUAAACCAAUAUUAAUAUUUCUCAUCUUUACUUUGCAAUCUCUUUUAGUUUUGAAUGAAAUAAAACAAUAUAGGUGAACCUGUUUCAUCCUCCCCUCCUUCUACCCUCAUUGAGAUGACCUGCAUUCUGAAGUUGGUAGGUAUCAUUCCCAUUGAAGUGGCUUUUACUGCUUGUUUUGUGGAUGACUGUGUGUUUGUGUGCACAUGUUUAACCUUCACCUAAAUAGUACCAUGCUCUCCUUUUGUACCGUUUUCAUCCAAAAACAAGUGUCUGAGAUUUUAUACGUGUGCAUAUUUUUAGAAGGAGUCUCUUCAUCUCUGCUGCUGAAUACCUGGCUGAGGGACACUUAGGUUUCUUCUCCUUUUUCCCUAUUGCCAAUGGCACUGCUCUGAACAUUUUUGCAUGUGUUUAUGUCCAUCUGUUAAGAGUUUUUCUAGAGGAGACACCGAGAAUGGAAAUGCUGGGUCAUGGGAUAUGUACAACUUGAGCUUGACUAAGUUUUGCCAAGUCACUUUCCAAGUGCUGACCAGUCUUCUCCCCAGGGUAAUAUGUGAGUCCUGGGGCUGCACAUACUUGCUCACAGCUGGUGGUACCAGACUUAUUACUUUUUGCCUAUCUGAAAAAAUUGGAAUGGCAUCUUAGUAUUUUAAUUUGCACACUUCUGAUUACAAGAGAGUUGAUCACCAAGCUGAAAUGCAGUAGUUGUACCCUGAAAAGGAAAGAGGGCAACUUAUUCCAAGUAGAAGAGAGGAAUUAAAAUAUCAGGGAAGGAAAAAUAAGUACUAACUAUGUAUCUUCUGAACUGUCAUGGGAAGGAUAGGAAGUAGCUUGCAGUUUCAAAGCAGAGCUAUCAGGGCAUCCCACACGACUCAGAGUUUGAAAUCCAAAUGUAUUCACUUACUUUUCCAAGUGACAUUUGCCUGAAUGGAACACUGACUAUCAUUUUGUUCCAGGAGAUGUUUAAUUUCAUCUGGAAAAAUCAUAUUAUGUUUUUAGAAAAGGUUUUCAACCAAAGAAGAAAUGAUACUGUCGUUACUUUGACUUCUGGAUAGCAAGCGUAUCAUUUGCAGAGUUCUUAAUCUUUGAAGAAAUUGUUUGGUUAAACUCAGUCCGAGAAACGUAGCACUGAGGCAAGAUGGGAGCAAAGUGUUAUGGUUAAUAAGAGUGGGUGGGAAAGCGCCUUGAGAGGUGUGAGCCUUACACACGCAUGGCUGCUUUUCUCUAGAGCAGGCCCUCUGGGAGUGGGAGUGAGAAUGUGGUUUCUGGGGCCGGAGCUGCCCAUCUCGUGACCCUACAUGACUCACUCCCAGGCUUCUCCGGGUUCCCCUCUGUAAAAUAGUGUUAAUGGCACUUACCACCCCCUGUUCCGAGUUGCUGUUAUGAGGAAUGUGGCACUGAGAUCAAGUCAUAGUCCAAGAACGCUCUGAGCAAAAGGAACCUUGAGUUUUAUUUGAGAGGAAGGAAGAAAUUACGAGCAAUCCAUUAAGGAUUUUAUAGCUGGUAACAUUGUUCUCUGCUGCUGUGAGGUAGAACCUUUGACUUUUUUCAGGUGAAGAUGGUAGGCUGUUGCUCAAGGGACCCAUCCUGCUGCAGUGUGUCUGCACUGCCCACCCGACCUCCUCCCCUCCUGAGGCAGCCUUGCACGUUCAGGGUGAGCUUCUCAGGCAGCAGGCUUCUCCUCCGCAGUGGGCUAUACCGAUUUUCUGUCUGAGCGUACGUGAAAACUAGAGUGGUCUGUCUCCAGGGCUGUGAACAAAACCAAAAACCCCGGCACUCAGCCCUUUUCAAUCAUGCCCCAUCCAGGCUUGGUCUUCAUUUUGCUCGGUGUGCAUAGGAAUGGUGACAAAACUGUGUGCCCACUUUUUACCAACUCUGGAAUUCAUCACCAAAGUGUUCUUUCUUCUUUCUCUUUAGUCUUUCAAUCUCUUCUCCUGAUUUUUCUUUCUCUGGCUUCUUCUUAAAGGUUGGUGUUCCCUGGGGGCCCUUCCAUAAUCCCUUUUUCUCAUUCCUCACAUUCCUACUAAGGAUUUCAUUUGUGCCUCUGACUUCAGCCACCGGCUAUCUGCUGAUGACUCCCAGACCCUUUGCCCAGCUGCCUACUGAACACUUUUGGAUGUCCUCUAGGCACCUCAAACUCCAUGCAUUCCAAAUCUCAUUUUCUUCUCUUCAGACAGUUCCUAUCCCAGUGAACAGCACAUUUAUCCUUGCACCCACCCCAGGGAGCUGAGCUAAGGCAGACCCUGUUACCUUACUACCUGAGAGCCAAAGUUCUCUUUCCUCUUUGCUAAAAGAGGCACAAUUUUGUUCAUAUAUUGGAGUCCAACUUCUUUAUGGGCGCUUCUUGAUACCAUCAGUGGGACUUGAUUGGUCUGAGCCAAUGACUGACAAGAUGUAAUGAACAGCUUCCUGGGAAAGAUGUUGACUCUCCCAUAAAAAGAGACAAGCCAGGAGAAAAUAUUGUUCCGGCUUUUGGUUGUGGUUAUGCAGGUGCUUGAUGUCAGGCAACGACAGCCGCCAUAAGGGUACAAGCAUGGGGUGAAAGUCAGAUUUUUGCAGUAUAAACCACAACAUGGAAGGCAACUGGAUUCGUGAUUAUAUUGUUAAGCCAUUGAAUUAACCAUCCCUGGGAUGGCUUAUCUCUGACCUUCAUGUUUGUGAGUUAGCAAAUUCUUCAGUACUUAAAUCGCUUUUCUUUGGGUACUGGAGAGCAUUCUACUUUAUCCUCUCAUAUAUUAAACCCAUUAGCAAGAACUUAACUAUCCCUCCUGCCUCACGGCCCAGCCCCACUGUUACUACUUUGGGUUAGGUCCUUACCACUUGAAUAUCACAAGCCUCCUCAUGGGCCUAUAAAUGUGUACUGUUACUUCUUUUGGCUGAAACCUUGUUUUGUGACUACUGCUGGGUAUUUUCAGUUUCAUUCAAAUGCCACGUCCUCUGUGAGAGCAAGCAUGUUCCCUGUGGUUUUCACUUCUGCCAUCGUCAUACCUGGCUCCUUACAUCCGGUAGACCACCAUGUGGCUGUUUUCUGCACGUCCCCCCGGGGGAGUGUGAGUUACUGGAAGGCAGGCUAUUCAAUCUUCUUCCCACCUUGUCUUAUGAUAGGUCUGGAAAAUAGCUUUGAAUUCUAUGUCUGCAUGAAUAAAUGCAAGACUGGAUGAUCAAAUAGGUUUUGCCUACACUGGUAUUGAUGUGAAUUUUUUUUUUAAAUGAUAGACAGGAACUCGAAACUGGGUAAGCUUUUCAGUAGCAGUGAUUUUUACAUAAGCCUUUAAUCAUAAUGAUUUAAUACAUAUCUAGCCAUCAAAGUCAGAAGUUAACACAACUCAACAGUGGAAUAUUUUUGAAAAUCCAAUAAACAGCCACCUAGGACUCAGUCGUAAUGUGUUGGCAGGUCCUUGUCCUCCUUCCAUGUGGUCUGUCCACUCUGUUCCGUCUACCACUGGCCUCAUGCCAUCUCUCAUCUUAAUUCCUCCAGCAAAUCUUCUCGGUAAAUGGUUUUCCAACUGGCAGAUGUGCAGCCGAGGGAUUACAGGAAAGCUUUCCAAGCAGGAGUGGUUCAGGAGUAGUUUUAGAGGAAUCAGUACUCAAAUUCUCAACCUCCAUUUGUUCCUUCUUUUCUAAGAGAUCCACAUGGGAAGUGUCCACAGUGGGAUGGACAAGCCCUCCUUCCCUGCCCCUCUCAGCAUCCCCUUCUUGCACUGGCCAGAAGGAGGAGAUGGCCCCCACCCAGCCCCUUCCACCAUGUUGUAUUGCCAGGGGUCUAACAAAGUUUCUAGGGCACCAAACCAAGGGAGGCUUCUAAAUAUUGGUGCGCUCACUAAAAAGCAAGUGACCAAUGAGUACAUCUUUUUUUCAGGCCAGCUUGUUUCCAAUAAUUUCCUUUAAAUCAAAAUUGAAGGAAGUGCUAAUUAAAUUGUCAGCUGAUCUAUCACCAAAAAUAGUCUUGAGAUGAUGAUUUUUCCCAUAUAAGUCUGAAAAGCUUAAGGCAGUCAAGAAAUUGAGACAUUCAUUGCUGCUAAAAAACACAUUUCUGUUGCACUCUCCUUUUGUGACAAAUUUCUUUAGUAUAUAUUGUGCACACAAUAUAAUCAUACCCCCCCACACACACUCACACAAUAGAACAUUUCUGCUGACCCUUAUUUCUUCCUGGCAAUAAAAAGUAUUCAUUCAUGAAAACAAGUAACAGCAAAAAAUCUUCAUGUAUGGGGUAUCUCUUUAAGAGAGGCAUAUAAUUGGUAUUUACCUUUCAUAGUUAAUAAUUAUUUACUGAAUUUUUAGCAUAGUUAUAUUAUUUUCAUCAAAUACUUCUCUACAAUCUAAUAAGUGACCAAUCCACAGGAAAGUUUUGAAUCCUGUGGCUUUAUGGCAACAGAAUUAAAAUGAAAAUUUAUAUGCAUACAUUUUGUCAUGGAAAAGAAUGACAGGGUGAAAAUUAAGACUUUUAAAUCUAAAGCCUGUUCUCUUAGGAAAAUGUGGCGAGGACUCAAGAUAAAUAUGAAUCCAAAGAGUAUUUCCUAUCAAGGAGUAUGUUUACAUGUAUUUUAAAAAUGCAUAAGAGCAGACAUAAAAUAGCUAUAGUAUUUAGCAAUUACAGUAUUUAGAUUACUCUGAAGACAUUAAGGAGAGUAUUAUAACGAUUUUAUUUUCAAACAUCAACUCUGUAAUAUUCUUUAAAUGAUAUUCACUAUAAAGUUUAGGUGUCAAACAGUUUGUGAGAGGGUAUGUCAAUUUAAAGAAAUGUUUGGAGAACAAUACACUGAAGUAUAUUAUUAUUAUUAUAUUAUGUUGUUGUUUCUAAGCAUGAGAAUUGUGUUAACGACACUGGGGAAAAUGAAAAAUUCUUCCUUGCUUUCUUUGACGCAUAAAAACUUUACGACCACAAGCAAACGUUAUGAAGAAAGACCCUGGGCUUUGUUCCUCUCCUAUUCCCUUCCUUACCUCUCUUGAAUUCUGCAACCUCUCUUUUCUGACAGUUUUUCAAAACACUCUGUGGGCAUAUGGGCUCAUAGGGGACUGGAAAGUCCCAUAUGAAGUAAUCUAAUUGAAACAAGUUUGGUGCAGUUGGUGCUAAGUCUUAGGCACCCUGCCUUUUCUAAGUCAGCUCCUAUUGACAACUGAGGCUGAAUCCAGGCAAAUCUGAGGGCAAAUCCAAGGCGGUUGACCAAAGAAAACAAAUGUAACCAGAGGAAACCAGGAGAUGUCAAUCAUGCCAAUGAACAUGAGUCAUGGAAAAAAAUUUUUUUUAAGUGUCAAAAACCUAUUUUAAAUGAAUGCUAAUAUCAAAAGCGGUGUCUAUUUAUACAUAUGUCAUAGGCAGCACUUUCACUAACGCUGUAAGAAUUCACUGAUCCAUUCAUCCAUCCCACAUGUUUCAGGCAUUUUCCUGGGGUUGAGAUGCAAAGAUGAAUAAGACAUGGAUUUCAUGCCAGGAAUGAAAUAAAUAAGCAGAAAGGGACAUUAACCUGGAUGUGGGAGACUAGUCAGUCUGCUCUUUGAGAAAUCCAUGAAAAAUAAAAUAAUGUUGCCAAGGGGAUGGACUAGAAGGAAACGUUUUAGAUAUUUGGGUGCUGACUUGUCAAAGGGACUGGAUGGACAUGGGAUGAGGCAGAGGAGGUGUCUCCGUAUCUGCCUCAGGCAGCAGGAUGACAGGAGCCAGGCUGAGAUUUCCCUUGAUUUUCAAUAAUCAGCCUUCUCCCGAAGCAC